rnacentral:misc_RNA from 1 species
GACUUUCAAGUGGAAUUGGGUCGGUUAUUGUCUUUGUUGCCGGAGGAAAUGCGGCGAGGAGUUAGCGAACACCCGGAAUAUUCCAAUUUAAUUGAGGUGGUUAUGGACUUAGGUCGUAAGCCACUUGCUCGCUUCCCUUCUGGAGAUUUCAUCUUAUCCGAUCAACCGAUUACUUUGGGUGAUCUUCAACAAGCUACCUCGCAGGUUGGUGACUUUGCAGUUGACAAUAG